AGCGAUGGCUGCGUGCCUAAACAUGCAAGUCGAACGCGAAAGUUUCUUCGGAAAUGAGUAGAGUGGCGCACGGGUGAGUAACGCGUGGAUUAUCUACCUACUGGUACGGGACAACAGUUGGAAACGACUGCUAAUACCGUAUACGCUGGUAACGGGAAAGGGGGCCUCUUCUUGAAAGCUCUCGCCAGUAGAUGAGUCCGCGUUUCAUUAGCUAGACGGUGGGGUAACGGCCUACCGUGGCAACGAUGAAUAGCAGGCCUGAGAGGGUGGCCUGCCACACUGGGACUGGAACACGGCCCAGACUCCUACGGGAGGCAGCAGUGGGGAAUAUUGCGCAAUGGACGAAAGUCUGACGCAGCGACGCCGCGUGGAGGAUGAAGGUUUUCGGAUCGUAAACUCCUGUCAAGAGGGAAGAAACCUAUCAUGAAUAAUACUCAUGGUAAUUGACGGUACCUCUAGAGGAAGCACCGGCUAAUUCAGUGCCAGCAGCCGCGGUAAUACUGAAGGUGCAAGCGUUAAUCGGAAUCACUGGGCGUAAAGCGCUCGUAGGUGGCUUUGUAAGUCAGGUGUGAAAGCCCACGGCUCAACCGUGGAAUUGCACUUGAUACUGCAUCGCUAGAGUAUAGGAGAGGGAAGUGGAAUUUCUGGUGUAGGAGUGAAAUCCGUAGAGAUCAGAAGGAACACCCGUGGCGAAGGCGACUUCCUGGACUAUUACUGACACUGAGGAGCGAAAGCGUGGGGAGCAAACAGGAUUAGAUACCCUGGUAGUCCACGCCGUAACGAUGGGUACUAGGUGUUGGGGGCUUGACCCUCGGUGCCGUAGUUAACGCGUUAAGUACCCCGCCUGGGGAGUACGGUCGCAAGGCUGAACUCAAAUGAAUUGACGGAAGGGCGAA
rnacentral:rRNA from 1 species